CUCCUACCGAUUGAAUGGUCCGGUGAAGUGUUCGGAUCGCGGCGAUGCGGGCGGUUCGCCGCCUGUGACGUUGCGAGAAGUCCACUGAACCUUAUCAUUUAGAGGAAGGAGAAGUCGUAACAAGGUU
rnacentral:rRNA from 1 species